UACGUAGGGGGCAAGCGUUGUCCGGAUUUAUUGGGCGUAAAGAGCGUGUAGGCGGUUUGGUAGGUCCGUUGUGAAAACUCGAGGCUCAACCUCGAGACGCCGGCGGAAACCAUCAGGCUAGAGUCCGGAAGAGGAGAGUGGAAUUCCUGGUGUAGCGGUGAAAUGCGCAGAUAUCAGGAAGAACACCCGUGGCUAAGGCGGCUCUCUGGGACGGUACUGACGCUGAGGCACGAAAGCGUGGGGAGCAAACAGG
rnacentral:rRNA from 1 species